GACGAACGCUGGCGGCGUGCUUAACACAUGCAAGUCGAACGGAAAGGCCUCUUUCGGGGGGUACUCGCGUGGCGAACGGGUGAGUAACACGUGAGUAACCUGCCCUUGACUUUGGGAUAACUUCAGGAAACUGGGGCUAAUACCGGAUAGGAGCUCCUGCUGCAUGGUGGGGGUUGGAAAGUUUCGGCGGUUGGGGAUGGACUCGCGGCUUAUCAGCUUGUUGGUGGGGUAGUGGCUUACCAAGGCUUUGCCGGGUAGCCGGCCUGAGAGGGUGACCGGCCACAUUGGGACUGAGAUACGGCCCAGACUCCUACGGGAGGCAGCAGUGGGGAAUAUUGCACAAUGGGUGGAAGCCUGAUGCAGCAACGCCGUGUGCGGGAUGACGGCCUUCGGGUUGUAAACCGCUUUCGCUCAUGACGAAGCUUUGUGUGACGGUAGUGGGUAAAGAAGCACCGGCUAACUACGUG
rnacentral:rRNA from 1 species